UUAAGUUUUCGGAUGUUCUGUGCGCGUUCCCGAGGCCCUUCGACUUUCCAUCCCAGAAACGAUAAACGCGGUGAGCAGCGCAUUCACACUACUUACGAUUAAUUUCAUAAUCCAGUCUGGUAGUUUUCAGAAGCGAGUUCUUGCAUUUGCCCUCCCCGAGCCUCGGCGGGGAUAAGGAGCGCCAGCGAGCCCAAGGCCUCCCUGGCGAGCGUGGUAGUACUGGAGGGCUCCCCAAAGGGCACCUUGGUGUUCCCCGGGGCGUCCGCGGAGGUACCGGAGAUCUGCACGGGUAGAUGGGGCUCGUUAGCCGUGGUAGGCAGUCCAUCUAGGAGAGCAAACUCCGAACAAUAUACCCGGGCAGGUGAGGCUCGUUAGCCGUGGUAGGCAAUUCGCCUAGGAGAGCAAACUCCGAACAAUAAACCCGGGCAGGUGGAGCUCGUUAGCGAGAGCAGUUCACCUAGGAGAAGGAAAACUCUGACAACAAACCCGGGCAGGUGGAGCUCGUUAGCGUGAGCAGUUCACCUAGGAGAAGGAAAACUCUGACAACAAACCCGGGCAGGUGGAGCUCGUUAGCCGUGGUAGGCAAUCUUCCUAGGAGAGGGACAACUCCGAACAACAAACACGGGCAGGCGGAGGUCGUUAGCCGUGGAAGGUAAUUCGCCUAGGAGAGGGACAACUCCGAACAACAAACACGGGCAGGCAGAGGUCGUUAGCCGUGGAAGGUAAUUCGCCUAGGAGAGGGACAACUCCGAACAACAAACACGGGCAGGCGGAGGUCGUUAGCCAUGGUAGGUAAUUCGCCUAGGAGAGGGACAACUCCGAACAACAAACACGGGCAGGCGGAGGUCGUUAGCCGUGGAAGGUAAUUCGCCUAGGAGAGGGACAACUCCGAACAACAAACACGGACAGGCGGAGGUCGUUAGCCGUGGAAGGUAAUUCGCCUAGGAGAGGGACAACUCCGAACAACAAACACGGGCAGGCGGAGGUCGUUAGCCAUGGUAGGUAAUUCGCCUAGGAGAGGGACAACUCCGAACAACAAACACGGGCAGGCGGAGGUCGUUAGCCGUGGAAGGUAAUUCGCCUAGGAGAGGGACAACUCCGAACAACAAACACGGGCAGGCGGAGGUCGUUAGCCAUGGAAGGUAAUUCGCCUAGGAGAGGGACAACUCCGAACAACAAACACGGGCAGGCGGAGGUCGUUAGCCGUGGAAGGUAAUUCGCCUAGGAGAGGGACAACUCCGAACAACAAACACGGACAGGCGGAGGUCGUUAGCCGUGGAAGGUAAUUCGCCUAGGAGAGGGACAACUCCGAACAACAAACACGGGCAGGCGGAGGUCGUUAGCCGUGGAAGGUAAUUCGCCUAGGAGAGGGACAACUCCGAACAACAAACACGGGCAGGCGGAGGUCGUUAGCCGUGGAAGGUAAUUCGCCUAGGAGAGGGACAACUCCGAACAACAAACACGGACAGGCGGAGGUCGUUAGCCGUGGAAGGUAAUUCGCCUAGGAGAGGGACAACUCCGAACAACAAACACGGGCAGGUGGAGCUCGUUAGCGUGAGCAGUUCACCUAGGAGAGCAAACUCCGAUUACAAACCCGGGCAGGUGGAGCUCGUUAGCGUGAGCAGUUCAUCUAGGAGAGCAAACUCCGAUUACAAACCCGGGCAGGUGGAGCUCGUUAGCGUGAGCAGUUCACCUAGGAGAGCAAACUCCGAUUACAAACCCGGGCAGGUGGAGCUCGUUAGCGUGAGCAGUUCACCUAGGAGAGCAAACUCCGAUUACAAACCCGGGCAGGUGGAGCUCGUUAGCGUGAGCAGUUCACCUAGGAGAAGGAAAACUCUGACCACAAACCCGGGCAGGUUGGGCUCGUGAGCCGUCAUAGGCAAUACACCUAGGAGAGCAAACUCCGAUUACAAACCCGGGCAGGAGGGGGUCGUUAGCCAUGGUAGGCAGUCCUCCUAGGAGAAGGAAAACUCCGAAUUCAAACCACACACACACACACACACACCAACCGGGCAGGUGGGGCUCGUUAUAGGCGUCGUAGACAAUCCACCAAGGGGAAUCAACACUAAGAGGAUAAUAAAAGCGAACAAACGAGAAGAAGAAUAUGAAAUUAGAACCAGAAAAAAAAGGACAGUAUAAGAUGGAACACUGAAAAAAGGAUAGUUAAGAAAAUAACAUCGAGAAGAGCAUAAGAUACACGCGGAUCAUCCAGACUGAAACGGAAGACCAAAAAAUGGAUGGCAUAAAAAGAAUGGAAAAAAGAUAACGUAAUAAGAAGGAAAGAAAAUAACGUAAAAACUAAAACACCAAGAAAAGGAAAAUAAGGAAAAUAUACAAACAACA